AGCAACAACAAUUUUAUUCUUUGAUCUUUUUACAUAAAAUAAAAAUAGGAUAGUUUGCCCCACAAAUAGCAAGAAAGCUAAUUGUGGCUAAAAGUUGGCUGCCAUUAAUGGCAGCAGGAAGGGUACAGUUGGUUUGGGACAUUCCCUAAACAUAGUUGCUUCUUUUCUCUAUACAUUUACCUAGGGUAACAACAGCUAUCAUUCUUUCCUACUACUCAGCAGAGAGGAUUCUAGCAUGAUUAAAACAACCUUGCUGGUAGAAAAUCACUUUGUGUCCAUGAACAGUUCUAACUGAUAAGAAAACAGAUUCAUUUGAUUAAAUUAGUACCAUAAACGAACCACAUCAGCCCUUCUCUCCUUCUACUGUAACUGUUAGUGCAUGUAAUUUUGUUUUCAUCAGGCAUUUAAAUUCCACUGUUACUCCAUUUAAGGUGUUGAAGACAGAACAAGAGAUUAUGGAGAGAGAGAGAGUAAACACCCAGCCAUUCAAAAAAAUCCAACUAAAGCUAUACAUUAAUUUGUUUUUUAAUUAAUGCUUUCAUUGGUGUUGUUUAACUGCUUGACACCACUUAUUUCUGUUUCAUUACCUUCCAGCAUUGUUUUAUAUGAAAAGGAGUUAAAAGAAUGCAUUCAUGCAUUUGAUCGUAGGUAAAUGUAAAAUUAAAGUUUCAAGUGUGAUGUAC